GACUGUCGCGUCUUUGGUUGGUUGGCUGGCACCUGGCUCCGCCUUCCCCACCUGAGGGGACUUUGCGCGGGCUUCUUCUUGUCUUUUCGAUUUGAGGCGCACUUGAGGGGGCAGGAUGUGGGCAGGCAAUAGCUACUCUUUCGCCUCAGAAUAAAGGCGUGGAAUCGACACUCAGGCCUAGCUGCUAGCUGAGGGCUUCCUUCCAGACGACGAAUCUCCUCAGAGCAGGCAGGGCUCUGAGUUGGACCACUACAGCUCCCAUAAUCCCUGGGUAUUGGCCACUGUGGCUGGGGAUUAUGGGAGUUGUAGUCCCAAAACUGCUGGGGGGUGGUGGUUGAGCAGGCCUGCCUAAGAGAGUGGCUGGAGGGGCGUCUUCAUGUUCAAGCCAUUUAUCGCUCACAGGGAAUUCUGUGAGGAGAUCUGGGCACGCAAAGAGAGGGACUGGCCUUAGGAGCAGAACUUUAAGCUUGUUCCUUUUAUCCUGAGGGGAUUCUGUGAGGAAAUCUGGGUCACCAAGCCAGAGCCUGGCAUGGUGUGAGAAGCUUCAUGCUUUUUAUUAUACGAUAGGAUACUUUUUAUUAUAUGAUACAAUACAACACGACGGAUAUUUAUAUACCGCGUAUCAAAAAAAGUUCCCAAAGUGGUUUGAUGGAUUAAGUGCCGUCAAGUCGGUGUCGACUCUUAGCGACCACAUCAAUAGAUUCUCUCCAGGAUGAUCCGUCUUCCACUUGCCUUUCAGGUCUCUCAGUGGUGCAUUCAUGGCUGUCGUCUUCGAGUCCACCCACCUUGCUGCUGGCUGUCCUCUUCUUCUCUUUUCUUCAACUUUCCCCAGCAUGAUGGACUUCUCAAGGGAGCUGGGUCUUCGCAUAAUGUUUCCGAAGUAUGAUAGUUUGAGCCUGGUCAUUUGUGCCUCGAGUGAAAAUUCUGGAUUGAUUUGUUCUAGGAUUCAUUGGUUUGUUUUCCUGGCUGUCCAUGGUCUCCGCAAGAGUCUUCUCCAGCACCAAAGUUCAAAAGCGUCAAUGCUUUUCCUUACCUUGCUUCUUCAAAGUCCAGCUUUCGCAUCCAUAGAGUGUCACAGGGGAAACCAUGGUCCGAAUGAUUCUAAUCUUUGUAGGUGUAGACACGUCACGGUUUACAUAGAUAGAGGUGUAGACACCUCUACAUAGAUAUAAAUAGAUAAAUGAAAUUUUUAUUUAUUUACUUAUUGUUAAAUCUAUAUACAGCCUUUCAUUAAAACAACCCCAAGGUGGUUUGCACAGAAAAAUUAAAACCAGACUAUAAAAACACACAAUUAAAAUAUUAAGCUAAAAUAUAAGAACAUAAAUCUGACUAAAAAGAUUUUAAAUAUAAGCAUAAAACAACCAUAAAAAAAUACAAAGAAGCAGCAGUAGAGACAAUAAUAUAAAAGCCUGGGUAAAAAGCCAAGAUUUAACACGAUUUCUAAAAACUAUGAUGGAGACCAAGGAGCAAAUAGCCCAUUCCAGAGUCUGGGGGCAGCAACAGAGAAGGCCCUGUCCCGCAUGCAUGACAGCUGAGCCUCCCUCAUUGUCGGUACCUGGAGCAGAGCCUCCUCAGAUUUGAUUUAAUUAAUUAAUUAAUCAACCAAUUAAUCAAUUAAAAGAUUAAUUACCACCCAAUCCACAAACACAGGGCGGUGUACAAACAAGAACAGCAUCCAAUAAAUUUAAAGGGCAAAUGCCUAGUGGAAAAGAAAUGUCUUCAAUAAGGAUUUAAAGGCUGAAAGGGAGGAGGCAGACUGAAUCUGAGGGGAAGGAGAAUUCCAUAGUGAAGGGAUAGCAACAGAGCAAGCCCUUCCACGGGCCCUAGUACUAUGGACCUCUCUGAGACCAGGGGCUGAAAGAAGGGCAACCUGAGAUGACCUCGUCAAGCAGGCAGCAACUCUUGGGAGCAGGCAGUCCCUCAGGUAUCCAUCCAAGGCCCAAACCGUUAAGGGCUGUAAAGGUCAAAACCAGCAACUUGAAUUGGACCUGGAAACAAACUGGUAGCCAGUGCAGCUCUUUCAAAAUGGGUCAGAUGUGAUCCAGAUAAAAUAUCUUAGCUGCUGCAUUUUGCACUAGCUGCAGUUUCCAAAUAUUCUUUAAGGACAGCCCCACGUAGAACGCGUUACAGUAAUCCAGCUGUGACAUGACUAAGGCAUGGGUAACUGUGGCUAGAUCCGCCUUCUCGAGAAAGGGACGCAGCUGGCGCACUAGCCAAAGCUGUGCAAAGGCAACCCUGCCCACCACCUCCACCUGAGCUUCCAGAAGCAGAGCUUGGUCCAGCAAUACCCCCAAGUUGUGUACUUGCUCCUUCAGGUAUGAAGAAAACAUAAGAACAGCCCUGCUGGAUCAGGCCCAAGGAAGCCCAUCUAGUCCAGCAGCCUGUUUCACACAGUGGCCCACCAGAUGCUGCUGGAAGCCUACAGGCAGGAGUUGAGGGCAUGCCCUCUCUCAUGCUGUUAUGUAUAUGGCUCCCUGUCCACAAAGGGCUCAUAAUCUACAAAGGAAUCAUAAGUCAGACACCAGCAACAGCCACUGGAGGGAUUUAGCUCUCUCCCUGCUAAAUAAAUAAAGGGAAUCACUACUUUUAAAAGUUGCCUCUUUGCUCAUUUAGCAGGGGACUUUAUGCUUUUUAUCAUCAGGAAAUCAAAUCUGGUCUCCAAGAGAGUGUCUGGUAUUAAAAGCUGAUUAUUACCUAUAAAGCCCUUAACGGCCUGUUUCCAGGCUAUUUAAGAGAGCGUCUCCAUUGUCAUGAACCCUGUUACGAUCUUCUGGAGAGGUUGGGUUACGGUUGCCACCGUUUGGUUGCAACCCAGGACCGGGCUUUCUCUGUGACUGCCCCAGAGCUUUGGAAUGUGCUCCCUGCUGAAAUAAGAGUAUCUCCUUCUCUGUUUGUUUUCAGGAAGACCCUCGGGACUCUCCUGCUCUCGCAAGCUUUUAAUUAGAAUUAAUUUUAAUAAUUUUAAUAAUUUGUUUUAAUAACUGUUUUAUGUAAUUGUUUUUAUUGUGCCUCCUGUAUUUGUAAAGAGGAUUUGAGGGCUCCCGGGGGCUUAGGAGGCCUGGAUGUCCAGGGGUAAGAGUGCCUCUGACUGUGCUAACACUUCAAAUUAGGUAAUGCAACUUUUUAACCAAAAGAUUUCGAGGAAGAAGCAAACGGAAGCAAUGACAUGAUGGAAGCCAGCUGAGUCACACUACUAAAGGUUUAUUUUCAGAUUAGUCUCUGAGAAAGCUGCUGGAACUAGAAACAUCUGUUCUGUGCACCAUGUUAUUGCCCCAAGAGCCCAGUAUGGUAGUAUAUGCUGAAAAUUCUUUGCUGUCCUGAAGGCUUAAUAUCUGAUAACUACAGCACUGAAGUCUAGUAAAGGUAAAGUUGCACGGUCGAGUCCAUGUCGACUCCUGGCGCCCACAGAGCCCUGUGGUUGUCUUUGGUAGAAUACAGGAGGGGCUGACCAUUGCCAUCUCCUGUGCAGUAUGAGAUGAUGCCUUUCAGCAUCUUCCUAUAUCACUGCUGCCCAAUAUAGCUGUUUCCCAUAGUCUGGGGAAACAUACCAGCAGGGAUUCAAACUGGCAACCUCUGGCUUGCCAGUCAAGUCAUUUCCCCAUUGCACCAUUAGGUGACUGCCUUGUAAAGAUAAAGUGGACUGUCAAGUCGAUUUCGACUCCUGGUGGCCACAGAGCCCUGUGGUUUUCUUUGGUAGAAUACCAUUCUACCAAAUGGUAUUUAUCAUUUACCAUACUGUGCAGGAGGAGUUUACCAUUGCCUCCUCCUGCACAGUAUGAGAUGAUGCCUUUCUGCAUCUUCCUAUAUCGCUGCUGCCCAAUAUAGUACCGGUGGGGAUUCGAACCGGCAACCUUCUGCUUGUUAGUCAAGCAUUUCCCCUCUGAGCCACUUAAGGUGGUGGCUGCCUUGUAGCCUGUGUUUAAUUGAAACAUGAACAUGAUGUGUGUUUCCAGGCAAGGUUAGAUGUUAUGCUUAAUAAUGGAGGUUUGUUUGUUUUUUUUAAAGAAAGUUAGACUAUUCUAAACUGAGACCAGAGAAAAAUUGAAUUUUACUUUGUACAACGAACCUGCCAUGGCUACUUUGAUGCAAACAAGAGAGCCCUACUCCGUGGAAACCUGUGUGAAUAUCCAGGCCCCUUAGGAUGCUCCGGAGGCAGCAGUACAUGGCAGUAGCAAUACAUGCACUGGAAGGUUGCUCUUCGCCUUCCAUCGCGAGGUUAUCGUAUACAUUUUCGUGCUUGCUGGGGAGAGGAGGACAGAAAACAAAGCAAAGUUAACUCGCGCCGUCUUGUAAGCAGCUACGUGAGAAGCAGAAGGCCACAGAACCUGGAGGGCCACCUGUCAGAUAUGAAGCAGCAGUUUCCUGCCCUGAGCAAGAGGCUGGAAUAGAAGACCUCCAAGAACCUUUCCAACUCUGACAUUCUGUGAUUUAAAAUAUCCGUUCCCCCCACCCCCACAUCAAGGCAUCAUAUUUCCCCAAGCGCCUACCUUGUUUCCAUCAUAUAGGGUUCCCCAUCGUUGGUCCUGCAUAAGAACAUAAGAACAUGAGGACAGCCCUGCUGGACCAGGCCCAAGGAAGCCCAUCUAGUCCAGCAUCCUGUUUCGCACAGUGGCCCACCAGAUACCUCUGAGAAGCCCACAGGCAGGAGUUGAGGGCAUGCCCUCUCUCCUGCUGUUACUGCCCUGCAACUGGGACUCAGAGGCAUCCUGCCUUGGAGGCUGGAGAUGCAAAGGAGAGGGA